rnacentral:rRNA from 1 species
UUGAUCCUGGCUCAGGAUGAACGCUGGCGGCGUGCUUAACACAUGCAAGUCGAACGUGAAGCCUAGUACCUAGUAUUGGGUGGAAAGUGGCGAACGGGUGAGUAACACGUUGGUGACCUGUCCCGAGGAGGGGGAUAACCGUGGGAAACCAUGGCUAAUACCCCGGAUGUCUAGGUUGUUAGAGAGCCUAGGCCAAAGCUCCGGCGCCUUGGGAGGGGCCUGCGGGCUAUCAGCUUGUUGGUGGGGUAACGGCCUACCAAGGCUAAGACGGCUAGGGGGCGUGAGAGCGCGACCCCCCACAAUGGAACUGAGACACGGUCCAUACUCCUACGGGAGGCAGCAGUGAGGAAUAUUGCGCAAUGGGGGCAACCCUGACGCAGCAACGCCGCGUGGACGAUGAAGGCCUUCGGGUUGUAAAGUCCUUUUUUGGGGGAUGAUAAUGACGGUACCCCAAGAAUAAGUCCCGGCUAACUACGUGCCAGCAGCCGCGGUAAAACGUAGGGGGCGAGCGUUAUCCGGAUUUACUGGGCGUAAAGCGCACGUAGGCGGCGCUGUAAGUUGGACGUGAAAGCUCUCGGCUUAACUGGGAGAGGUCGUUCAAUACUGCGGUGCUCGAGGUUGGGAGAGGAGAGUGGAAUUCCCGGUGUAGUGGUGGAAUGCGUAGAUAUCGGGAGGAACACCAGUGGCGAAGGCGACUCUCUGGUCCACACCUGACGCUGAGGUGCGAAAGCGUGGGGAGCGAACGGGAUUAGAUACCCCGGUAAUCCACGCCGUAAACGAUGGAUACUAGGUGUAGGAGGUCAUUUACCCCUUCUGUGCCGUAGC